ACAAACGGUCGGUGUGUUACAGGGAUUGUGAAAUAUGAGUGUGUUUGAUUUGAAUCUGUGCAUUUGUGAAAUAAGAAUAAAAAUUCAUUCUUUCUUUUUCUUCUUCAAGAAACAAGAAUCUAUUUUUCUCCCAUUUUCAUCUCACCAAAAAUUACACUUCCGAUUCUUCCAAAAUCUCUCGCAUUCUCAUCGAUUCUUCCAAAAUCACACUUCGAACUCACAAUCUCCGCCGAUUCUUCAAUGAUCGUUUGUGUGCAUCUUCCGUAUCCCGCAAUUCUUCAAUGAGAAAUUUUCAAGCCGAUUUCUGAAUCAAUUGAUUGCAGUAUCAAUUCUUGUUAAUUUCAUGUCUAUUAUAUGGUUCUGAACAUAUAUUUUUUGAUUCAAGUGAUUUUAGGGUUUUGAUUUCAAGGAGAUUUUAACUCUGUUUAGGGUUUUCAUUUUUCAUUUGAUGUUAUGUAUGUUUAGGAUUUGACGUUUCAGAUUUGCUUUUAAGUCGAUUUUCACUUUGCUUAGGGUUUUUCUUCAUCCCCAUCAAGUUUGAUUUAUGCAUGUUUUUAGUGACCUAAAUGAUUACUAUUGCAAUAUUUGACUUCUUUAUAUAUGAUUGUUAGUUGUUUUUAUAAACAAUUUUGUUGUGAUAGAUAAAAAAUUGUUGCCUACUACAUAUAAUGUUUGUAGUGCCGGAGGAAUUUGGUUUGUGAUUGAUUUUGGUGGGGCAUUGUGUGGUUUCUUUAGAUUAGGAUGAAUUCUAAAAUUUAUACAUGUGAUGUUCCAGGCUGAGGUUGAAGGCGAAAAAGAGAGCUAUGAUGUAAAAAUAGGGAUGAGGUAGAAAGCAAAAAAGAUAGAUACUCCAUGAUGCAAUAAUAGGAUCAGCAGGAGCUUAUGCAUAUCUUAGAUUGUUACAUGGAAAAAGUCUCAAAGUUGACUAUGACGCAAGGGAUGAGGUAGAAAGCAAAAAAGAUAGAUACUCCAUGAUGCAAUAAUAGUGGAAUUGUGUUUGCUAAAGCUGAACAGAGCUGGUGGUAUGAAGAGCAGGAUCGUCGGUUCUUUCUCCAGUAUGGAAAUAAUCUUAGACCUCCAGCUCUUCUUUUUCCAGGAUCAGCAGGAGCUUACGCAUAUCUCAGAUUGUUACAGGGAAAAUGUCUCAAAGUUGACUAUGAAGCAAGAGGAUAUGAGAAGAUUGGAUAAAAUAUAACUGAAGGUGCACCUGAUAUGGAUGAAGCUAUUGAUGUAAGUCUUAAUUGUUUCUUAUUUAUGGGUCUGAGUUAUAUAUAUGUAUGAAUGAAACAGUGGUGAAUGAAUAAUAAAGGAAACAUAGCUUUAUUUAAUAAUAAUGGUCAAAGGAUUACAAUAAGGCACGAAAAUAAAGGUAAAUAACAAACUGAUAAAGAUAUUAUAUCAGUCCCAAAAGCAUCAAAUGCUUCCCAAUUACUAGUCAGUGACCCUUCUUACAAUAACAGAAAAUAUUCCAUAUACUCUGCUCCUUCUCUUCCUUUCUUUAAAUAAAGGAAGCAUCACAUGAUUCAAGCCUCACGUGGCCACGUCA